rnacentral:lncRNA from 1 species
ACGCGCGGGGCUGCUGCGGCUGCUCCGCCGGCGGAUCAUCACUCUCGGGCUGGGAUGGACGCGGGGCGGGCCGGCCCUGGCGCGCGGAGCCAGGAGUCCGGGCCUCCCGGCUGCUGAGCGUCCCUCGAAGCCUCCCCUCACCCCCGCCUUCCCUCCUAGGAUCCGCGCUGACCCCCGCCCCGGGGCUCUGGACUCGGCUCCCGCCCUCCUCUGACUCCCCGGACCUCCCCCUCACGCCCGCCCUCGGGAUCGACUAGAUCCCUCCCCCUCCCCGAGGAUUCCGGCUGGAUCCCUGCCCCUGCACCGCGGAUCCUGCGCUCCCGGGCCCCGGGCCCCUGGGGAUUAACGUGGACUCCUCCUCCAGCACCCGAUCCUUAGGAUCCUCCGCCUGGACCGCCUUCUGGUCCCUCGAAGCCGGCCCACGGAACCAGCGGAUCCUCAAUCUAGUCCUGUCCCGUUGCCCCCUCCUUUCUCUAUCGUCCCUACUGCGGGGUUCCCUGUUCUCGGGCUCCCCCUGAUCCCAUCCCCUAGCUCUCCUUUUCCCGGGGAUCGACUGGAUCCCGGCCCCGCCCCCCGGGGCUGGGGCGAUCCCCCUCCCCCGCCGGGUGAGGCGCUGCGGGCGGGGGCUGGGCCUGCGGGGCCGCGGGGGCUCAGAGGCCGCCGCCCCCUCCCGAAGGCCUUUCGCCCCCCACUCGGAGCCCUGGAUGGAGGCACCACGGCCCCAGGGCUGAGCCAGGGAGGUGGGAGCUGGGACUCCUGAGUCCCUGAGGAGAACCUGCCUGGGAGGGAUACAUCAGCUGGAAGGGAGCAUGCUGGGUCUGGAGAGCUGACCCGCCUCUCCUCUGGCUGGGUCCUGGACUUGAACCACAUCUGGGCCCCACCCCCAACCUAGGCGUCUGCUGAGGGGAGAAGGGCUGCUGGGUGGGAGUGGGGAGGUGUCAGGGGGCCUGUGGGUGGGAGAAGGGGGCAACUUGGUCUGAAUUCCAGGUCACUAACCACUUGUCUCUUCUGUUUCCCCAUUCCUUUCUGUCUGCCCCAUCCAAUUUCCCUUGCCCUCUUCCACCUCUGUAUUUUUCUGUCUGUCCGUCUGUCUGUAUCCUGCCUCCCUGCCCCUCUCGCUCCACCCCCCGCAGGUCGGGCCUGCCUUCACCUUCUCCCAUUUCCUUCCCCUUCCCCACCCCGUGCCCCCUCCAUGGAGAGGAACAGACCCCUUCUCUGUCCAGUCUAACCCAGGUCCCUCCCCAACCCCCUCCUCCCUCC